UUAUUACGUUUAUAGUAUAUUCUGUCUAGAUUUUCAGGACGAAAUCCCAUGGACAUAGCUUUGCCAUGAUUAUGAACUUUGUUGUCAUUAUACAUAUUACAGUGUUCGUUAUUAAUGCAUACUAUACAAUACAAUGCAUAUUCGACGAAAGUCAGAAAUUCUUUUAUAUUCCGUAUACUGUGGAAUGGUAUAAUUUAUCAUUAUCAAUACAGAAAUUGCUACUUUUUAUUAUGCAAGGAAACCAUCACUCAGCAGUAUUAAAUUUCUAUGGUAUAUGGGUACCUACGUUCAAAAAUUUGAGCACGCAAUUCAAAUUAUGUUGGUCCUUCUUUAUGCUAUUGUAUUCCACUCAGAAAUAAUGACAUCGAUUAUAGUACAUUAGCGGACCAUACGAAAACAUGAUUCACCAGUUAAUAUACGUUAUUAUUGCCACUAAAUGACGAUACUUUAUCUUAACAUCGCACGCAUUUGGGAUGUGUUACAAAUAAUGCACCGGAAUAAAAGUAUACCUGGAGUUCAUUCAUUAUGAAUUCAUGAUUUCCCAACCAUUAUGAGUUCACAUGACUAAAGAUAAGUGAUGGUUUUCUUAGGUGCCAGAAAGGAUAAAUUGUAUUUUGAAUGAAACUUAAAUCCAAC